rnacentral:rRNA from 1 species
UGCCUUAUGACAACACAUAUAAGGUAAAACCUGCCCAGUGACUCACGAGUUAAACGGCCGCGGUACCCUGACCGUGCUAAGGUAGCAUAUAAUUUGCCCUUUAAUUGUGGGCUAGAAUGAAUGGAUAAACGAAUGUUAAGCUGUCUCGAAAAUAUCCAUAGAAAUUUACCUUUAGGUGAAGAGGCCUAAAUAAAAUUAAAAGACAAAAAGACCCCGUAGAGCUUAACUAACUCCUCGUAGUAAAAAAAUAUAUUACAUUUUUCACUUACACACCAAUUAGUUUAACUGGGGCGGUUAAGGAGCACCUACCCUCCUUUUAAUUCCAAGGUCCCGUACCAAAAUAGAUCCUUUAUAGAUUUAAGAAAAAAGCUACCUCGGGGAUAACAGGCUUAUAUCUUUUAAGAGUACAUAUCGAAAAAGAAGUUUGGCACCUCGAUGUUGGCUUAGAGAACCCAGGAGAUAGUAGCAGUCUCCAAAGGCAGGUUUGUUCAACCUUUAAUUCUCU